CCUAUGCGCAUCCCGCAUAUUACUACGUUCAUCAGGCAAACCAAAUUCCUGCAACAAAACUUAUCGACAGCAACGAGGCAGCGCAACGCUACAAAGGGAGGGUUUAUAUCGAUUACCCUAAGGGGAAACCAGUUCCGUUUUAAAGACCUAUUGAUCAAUCACUUACGUUUCUUCUAUGCAUAACCUCCGCCAGUACUUGUGUUACCUGUAGUCCUGUACGAUAUUCUCCCUCUGCUAAACGUAGACGAGGAGAGGUUGCUAGAACUCGAGUCAGGAGCUUCUUCUUGCUUCUUCAAAUAAACUUUCUGUGAUUUAUAUAUCAUAAUUUUCUAUUUGGCUGGUCAAGUAUGUAUUGUCAUAAUUAUCUUUCUGACUUCCUAAUUAUCACCUGAUUCACCUCUGAUUGUUGCACUGUAUGCAAGAGUACUGCACGUAUGAAUAUAAACAGCAGAUCUGCUCUGUUAUUGCCAUAUGCUUAAAUAGAUCGCAGGAUCCACAAACAACAAGUGAUGGCAAAUUUCUUAAUAGUGAACAAUAAGCUGAUCAUCUGUUAAUUCUAUAACCAAAAUUUCCUCCACAGCUCUUUAACUAAGCUGAUAGUCGAUGAAGAGUCAAGAAAAAGCAUGAUUCUCAAUCCGAGCUAUGUGAGCAAGUGUAUCUAGUAAAAAUAUCUCAUCUCCGAAGAAAACGAGAUUAGUAAGCCUCCCUUUAAAGCUUUGCUGUACUCAUGUCUUUUACAGAAAAAGGGAAAAAGGGGAAAUGCUUUGAGAUGUGCUUUAACCUCCUCCAUAUUUCAUUAAAAACCUUCAUUAUAAAUGGGACCCAUCAAAAACAUGAGAUGUGCUUUAACGAUCCUCCAUAUUUCAUCUUAGCCUGGAAGGAUAAACAAGAAUAUUAUUGUUUCUGAAAUAUAACGAUUGCAAGCAUCGCCUUUCGGUGAACUUUUGUUGACAAGAAACUGCCACAAAUUGGGUACUAUUCCGAGAGAGUUUUCUUUUUCUGCUCUGUUAUCGCAUAUAUACAACUGAAAUCUUUAAGUCCUCUUCAGGGUCCCCCCCGAAAGAAAAUGGUCUAUCAUGGAAAGUCCUGAGGAAUCUGAGGCAUAUAAUAUGAGAUAUAUAUCGUCCCAAGAUCAUAAAAAUGAUAAAUCUUAAUCUUAUCAGGUGUAGCCAUGAGGUGGGAUCAGAACCUAUUUUCCUAAUUUUAUCAACUAAAGGGAAAGCCACAACUAAGUCUCUGUACUAUAUGAUUGUCGAUUAAUACAGAAUCGAGCACAUCCUUGAGGAGCUAAAGAAAGCUAGAAUAAAGCACCUCUAGCCACAUCUUCACUGUUUAUUCUCUAAUAGUAUUGUUUUGUUAAAUUGCACUUGAAAAUACAGAACCUGUUCUUGAUAUUUCAUGGACAAUAUUUAUUCUGGUUGUGCAAGUAACCUACACACCAAUACUUGUAAUAUUGCAUCAAAAUUCAAACUAACAGCAUUAUAUGUAUACUUGUGGAUAUGGAAUCAGCCACAAGUGGAGAACCCCAUAAAUCUUGAAAACCUCUGUUGAUUGUGAUGGGUCCAAAAAGCAGAAAGCAAUUCCACCCGAUUGUGCUUAUUUCCAUUAAUUGGAAAGUGGGGAUGAAACUGUUGGGCAGAGGGAUGAAGUGCCCAAAAACUGCAAUAUCGUCACAUUAAUUAAACUGAGAUUAUUCUGAUUAGGCUUGGGAUUGUGCUUAUUGCCAUUAAUUAGAAACUGCAAUUAAACUGAGAUUAUUUUGAUUAGAGAACAGAAGGAAUAUUCUUUCAUAAUUGGCUUCCGAGAAGGUUUAGUGUUUUUGCUACCUCUGCUUUUAGACCUGACAUGAUUCCUGACCGGUAGAAACUGUUAGGAUACUGGCAUGCAAACCCGACAAGACAAAAGGCUUAAAUGAGAAAUGAGACACACAAGAAUUUACGUGGUUCACCCAAUUAGGCUACGUCCACGGGCAAGUAUAGAAGGAUUUUACUAGUAAUGUGGGAAUUACAACCUCUCUCAAAUAAUAGGAGAACAACUAAGAAUCUCUCUAUUAUUAGGAGAAAACACAUCACUUACUCUCUUACAAAUACCUCACAAUUUUGUGGGAUUACUUUCCCUCUCUCACUCUUCUCUUCCUCUCUUAUUUCUCUCUUGUGGUGUGUUUUUAAUGCUUGGAUGCAUUGCCUAUUUAUAGGCAAGCAUCCAUGCAAGAGCAAGUGGCCAAGUUGGUUAAGGCACCUCCAUCCAAGGUAGGCACCUCCACCAAGGUAGGCACCUCCACCCAAGGUAGGCACCUCCACCAAGGUAGGCACCUCCACCUAUCUUCACAUUCUCCCACUUGAAGACUUUGAUGAUUGAAUCAAGUCUUCACACUUCAUCAUUUGUGAUUCUUCUAUCCUUUCGAUACUUGUCAUCUUCAUGCUGCUUACGUUUCUGCUAGGCCACAAGAGGAUCUGCACCAUAUAUACUUAUCAGUGUUGACUGGUUUGGUUAAAGCAUCUGCUGGGUUUUCCUUUGUGUGAACCUUCUGAAAAUCCACACUUCCAUCUUCCACCACUUCGCGAACAAAGUGAUACUGAACAUCUAUAUGUUUUGUUCUUGAAUGAAACGCUGGAUUCCUUGCAAUAUGCAAGGCACUCUGACUAUCACAAUACAAAAGAAUCUUCUCUUGUUUGUGCCCGAGCUCCUCCAUAAGUUUCUUCAGCCAUAUUGCUUCUUUACAAGCUUGUGUAGCUGCCAUAUACUCAGCUUCUGUUGUGGAUAACGCUACAACAGUCUGAAGUUUAGAAACCCAGCUCACAGCUCCUCCUGCAAUUAUGAACACAUAGCCUGUAGUGGAUUUUCUUUUCUCCAGGUCACCAGCAAAAUCUGAAUCAACAUAACCUCUGACAGUAAAUUUUGAUCCUCCAUAACAUAAUGCGGCAUCUGAGGUACCCUUGAUGUAUCUCAAGAUCCUCUUAAUAGUAUUCCAAUGCUCUCUACCAGGAUUUGCCAUGUAUCGACUAGAAAAUAUCUCAUUAAAGUCUAUUCCUUCUUUCUAAGCAUAUCCUUUCACCACCAAUCUUGCACGAUACCGCUCCACUUGAUCAUUGCCAUCACGCUUUAUCUUGUAAACCCAUUUGUUGCCAAUGGCCUUUCUUCCUUGUGGUAGCAGAACAAGAUCCCAAGUGUUAUUCUUGUGUAGAGCUUCAAUCUCCUCUUGCAUUGCUGUCAUCCACAUAGAUACAUCUGUGCUUUUGAUAGCCUCAUGGAAAGUUGAUGGCUCUCCAUCCUCUGUUAGAAGACAAUAUGCAAUGUUGCUCUCGGUAACAUAUUCUGAGUGCCAAGCCGGUGGUCUUCUUUCACGAGUUGACCGUCGAACUUCAGGAGUUUCAGACUCUAUUUGUUCUUGUUCUUCAUGCUCUGGUACAGCUUCAGAAGAAGUAUGAUUCUGAGUAUUUUCUAUCUGGACUUCUGUAGUCUCCUUUAAAAUGCUAUUAUUUUCUUCCAUUUGCAUUUUAUCUUCUGCAAAUAUGACAUCUCUGCUGAUGACUACCUUGUGGGCAGUGGAAUCCCACAAGCGAUACCCCUUCACUCCAUCAGCAUAUCCCAAGAAUACACAUUUUCUGGAUUUUGAAUCCAGCUUGCUGACCUCUUGAGUAUUGUACAUCACGUACACAUGACUUCCAAAUAUAUGCAAUCGAGAAUAAUCAGCUGGCUUUCCAGUCCACAUCUCCAUUGGUGUCUUCAACUCAAUUGCAGUAGAUGGAGAUCGAUUUAUCACAUAACAGGCGGUAUUGACUGCUUCUGCCCAGAAUGACUUUUCUAGACCUGCAGCCUUCAACAUUGCUCUUGUUCUUUCCAAUAGAGUUUUGUUCAUCCGCUCUGCCACUCCAUUUUGUUGUGGAGUGUAUGCCGUUGUGAACUGCCUUUUGAUACCUUCAUGUUGACAGAAGUUAUCAAAUUCAUCACUGGUAUAUUCUCCUCCAUUGUCAGUCCUCAAACACUUGAUCUUCUUUUCAGAUUCAAGUUCUACCCGCGCUUUGAAGGUUUUAAAAACUGCGAACACAUCUGCCUUCCUUCUAAUCGGAUACACCCAACAUCUCCUGGAGAAGUCAUCUAUGAAUGAUACAAAGUAUCUUGCUCCUCCCAAGGAUACAACCGGUGCUUGCCAAACAUCAGAGUGAAUCAGGUCUAAGAUGCAUUUGCUCUUAGUUGUUGAUGUGCCAAACUUCAACCUGUGUUGCUUGUAACACAGUGCUCACAAAAAGGUAAAGUAACCUUUGUAAGCCCAGGGAGUAACUUCUGAUCAGAGAGAACCUUUAAACCUUUCUCUGACAUGUGGCCUAGUUUUUGAUGCCACAUCAUCGUCUUCUCUUCUGCAGGACUGGCUGAUGCGAUUGAUGCUUCUGCCCCUGAUGUGUUUCUCCCAUUAAUACAAACAUGUUUGCAACUGUCUUUCUUGCCUUUAAAACCACCAGCGCGCCUUUGACAAUUUUCAUGAUUCCAUUGUCUGUUCGGAUCUUACAGCCAAGACUAUCAAAUUGUCCUACGGACAAAAGAUUCUUCUUUAAGUCUUUCACAUGUCGCACUCCUGAAAUAGUACGAAUUAAGCCAUCAUACAUCUUCAAUUUGAUGGUGCCAAUGCCAGAAAUCUCUACAGCAUGAUUAUCACCCAUGAACAUUGUGCCUCCAGAGAUAGGUUCAUAUGUAUGGAACCAAUCUCGUCUAGGGGUCAUAUGCCAUGUUGCUCCUGAAUCCAUUAGCCAGACCUCAGUGAGCUCUUCUCUAUCUGUAGAGAUUGUUGCUGCUUCACUAUAUAAAAUCUCUCCAUCUUCUGAGGUGCUUGCAACACAUCCUUGAGGUUUUGAUGACUCUGCAGUAUUCUCUAUACCCUUUUUAAACCAACAAUCCUUUUUGAAGUGCCCUUUUCUGCCACAGUUGUAGCAUUUCACAGCCUUCUUACUUCUUGAUUUGGACCUCCCCUGCCUUUGACUCCCACUGAAGCCACGUUCCGUUGAUCUUCCUCUUGAUACCAACAAUGCCUCAGCUUGGUUUGAACUGUUUCUGUCUCCUUUGUUUUUGCGCCUAUUUUCUUCUUCCAAGAUAGCAGCUGCAACAUCAUCGAAGACUAAAUAGUCUGAGAGGAUAUUAUUGGUCAAGUUGAUAAUGAGCUGAUCAUACGAAUCAGGAAGACUUUGAAGUAGAAGCUCUGCACGUUCAUGUUCCUCUAUUUGUUGACCCAAUGUAGUGAGUUGUGAAAAUAGAGUUCUUAUUGUGUUGAUGUGGUCAGUCACCGACGUGGUUUCUGCCAUUCGAAGGGUAUAAAGUCUCCGCUUUAAGAAAAUCUUAUUAUGCAAAGACUUGGACUCGUAUAGCUUUGUUAGAGUCUCCCAUAUCUCCUUAGCUGUUUUCUUCUCCGCCACACUUGAUAAUACUUCAUCAGCUAAUGCUAAAUGUAUGUUAGCAAUAGCAUUGCCAUCCAUCUCAUUCCAUUUUGCAUUAUCAGUGAUCUCCGCGGGCCGAUCCCCAAUUGCUGCCAAGCAAUUGUCUUUCCUCAAGAUUGCCUUGAUUCUCAUUUUCCACAGUGAGAAAUUGCUCCCCUUGAACCUCUCAAUCUCGUACUUUGCUGCCAUUGUAUUCACCGAGAUCUAUUCAGCUAUCACCGUUUCACAGAUCUGUAACGUAUAUAGAAAUAGUAUCGUGUGAAUAAUACUUCACUAAGUAAGUUCCCAGGAAAGAUUGGAGGGGUCACAAACGGUCCCGCUUAAAACCCAAUCUCCUUAGACAGAACUUCCUAGACUGUAUUUAAUCACCGCACUGACUUUCUAUAUACGACAACAGUAACGAGUGAACAGUACCGUAUGAAUGAAUAGUGCCGUAUAGGUGAAUAGUACCGUAGACGUGAAUAGUAACCGUAUACACGAAUAACUUUUGUGUGUUAACAACACCAACCAAGAAGGCUCUGAUACCACUGUUAGGAUACUGGCAUGCAAACCCGACAAGACAAAAGGCUUAAAUGAGAAAUGAGACACACAAGAAUUUACGUGGUUCACCCAAUUAGGCUACGUCCACGGGCAAGUAUAGAAGGAUUUUACUAGUAAUGUGGGAAUUACAACCUCUCUCAAAUAAUAGGAGAACAACUAAGAAUCUCUCUAUUACUAGGAGAAAACAUCACUUACUCUUCACAAAUACCUCACAAUUUUGUGGGAUUACUUUCCCUCUCUCACUCUUCUCUUCCUCUCUUUUCUCUCUUGUGGUGUGUUUUUAAUGCUUGGAUGCAUUGCCUAUUUAUAGGCAAGCAUCCAUGCAAGAGCAAGUGGCCAAGUUGGUUAAGGCACCUCCAUCCAAGGUAGGCACCUCCACCAAGGUAGGCACCUCCACCCAAGGUAGGCACCUCCACCUAUCUUCAGAAACAACAUUAGUCCAAAAGAAGGGAAGCUUUUGUUUUCUUUAAUCACAUGAUCAGAUGUUCUCAUUUAUGCCCAGCACAAAUUCAUAAAAGUGGCUCUCAUGAUUGGCUGAAAACAGUUGUUGAUGAGCAGUGUUUGACUCCCUUAUUUUCAAUUUACUAAGUCGAUAAUAAUAAACUCUUGGUGAUGGCUUUCUCAUCGAUGGUGAUCGGACGACAAAAAAACCAGUUAAAGUUUCUUAUGUAUAAAAUAUAUUAAGUAUUGAAAACAUCCAAAUCUAACAGUUUUAAAUUUUUUUGUGUUUAAAUUUGAUAUUAACAAACUUUUGAUGAUUUGUUUUUUCAUUUAUAGUGGUUUUAUCGUCAGUAGUGAUAAGAUGAAGAAAAACUAUUGAUUUUUCUUUCUGCAAUGGUUAGUAUCAAGGUUGUCAAAAAUAUUUUUUUUGACACGACAAGAAAUACAUAAUAUAAAUUCGGAUUGUAAACUUGAAUUGUAAAAUCAUAAAUAAAAUAUUUUAGCUAAUUAUAUAUUGACAAUUCCAAUCAAGUAGUAAAUAAUAAUAUAAUACAAUUAAAAUAAAAGAAAAAUAAACAAUACAAAUAUUCAAUCUUAAAAUACAUUAUUCAAAUAAAAAUUUAUACAUGAUUUAAAUAACUUAACAAUACAAUAUAAUACAAUUAUGUCCAUAGAAUAUCAUUUACUAAAAAUUAACAAAUCUAAAACAAACAAUCUGUUGGUGUGUCAUGUAACUAAACACAACCUUAUUGCCUUUAUUUUUCUUGUUAUUCCUAAAAUAUUCAUUAAAAUUAUUACCAUCAAAAAAAUUAUUCUAUAUAAAAGUUGGCUUGGCCUCCUACAUAUUAGCCAAACAAGAAAACCACCAAAACCUAUACACAGCUACUUGUCUUUGUGUGUUGAUUGCUUGUAGUUAACAUGGUACGUCAGGCAGAUCGUCUUGUUAAGAUUGGGCAGGAGGGUUUUGCAGCCAUUGAUGAGCACUUCGGCCUGGCCAAGAGGCGGCCACCAGUUAUGAAGGUUCCCUACGCGCAUCCCACAUAUUACUAUGUUCCUGCAACAGAAGUUAUCGACAGCAACGAGGCGGCUCAACGCUAUAAGGGGAGGAUUUAUGUCGAUUACCCUAAGGGGAAACCAGUUCCGUUUUAAAGACCUAUUGAUCAAUCACUUACGUUUCUUGUAUGCAUAACCUCCUCCAGUUGUGUUACCUUUAGUCCUGUACGAUAUUCUCCCUCUGCUAAACGUAGACGAGGAGAGGUUGCUAGAACUCGAGUCAGGAGCUUGUUCUUACUUUUCAAAUAAAAU
rnacentral:lncRNA from 1 species